AAAUGCUUAACAGUCGACACAAUGCCACGUACACAGGCGUGCAGCUGCGCUCGCGAACGUGAGCCCAAGCCAGACCAGCGUGCGGCACACGUUGUCAUUUCCGUCGUGAAACAUUUGACCACGUUAUAACGCUAAUAUCGCGCGUCACCGUGUCAAGGGUGAGAGUUGAAUAUUUAAUUCGCGGUAUUGUCGGAGCCCUCGGUGCCGCUCGAUUGCUUCUUUCUUUCCGUCUCCUCUGCGCACUCGGUUCCGACUAAUUAAUCGUGAGAUUUCUUUUGCUGCUGCUUGCGUCACGAGCAACGAUUCCGAUAAUGGAUGGCGGACGUUCAUAUAUUACGUAGAUGUACUCUUCAUAAACUUUUUCGAAGGGUCUUGCUGCGAACACGUUGAAUGGUAACCAUGGAAAAUUGGGUAAACCCGGCCGCCGGAAUAUUGCACGUUGUCAUCAAAGGAUUAAUUGAAAAUGGAGAUGACAUUGUCGCCGCUUGAAAAUUACUGGGAAUGUGGAUUAUCGGAGCGCCAGGUAUAAACGUAUCUCUAUUUAUAAUGUCACUUCGAAUUGGGAUAUCUGAAUUGACGGCAUUAUGAUUGCAACAAGCCCAAAGGAUAAUCGCAAGUAAUACGAUAAUUACCGAGGAAGCGCAUUUUUAACACUGAUUAAUUAAGACGAAAACUUCAGUUUAGUACACGCAUUUCAUUCUUAUUAUUUGCAAUACCGUUUUACAUUUACAAUGGUAAAUGAACAGCAGUAAAGUAACUAUGUCAGAAUAAACCACUGUAUGGAUAAAUGAAAGGUGCAAGCUCUCGAUUAGACGUAAGAGGUUUAAAACUGAACUAAAACUAUGAAUUCAACGGCUGCUCCCUUAAAGUACUUACGUGGUUGGAGCUAUAUUAGCUUAUUGUUAGUAAUAAUACUAAUUUUAUUAUACAUGAAUGCAUUGAUACGCAAAAUGUAAUUUCGCGUUUACAAGAGCUUACCAUGUACUGUAUGUAUAUAUGCGAAAUAAUUGAAGGAUUCGAGAUUAAUUUACAAUACCGGAGAUUGUAUAUUUAGUACAAUGAUGUAGUAAUUAUAAUGGCUACUAAUAAUAUAUAGAUGCGUUAUAGAUAAUUUCGAAUUAUUAGUUGUUACAUAUGAUACAAUUAGCGAUUAUAGACUGUUAUGUAAAGUAUAAACUAUGUAAGUUUCGUGUAAUGAUUUGUGUAAAUGUCCUUUCAUUGCUAAUUGUUUAGUAUCGUUUAUAAUAUGAAUACGUCUGGAAAUUAUGUAAAAAUUUACCGUACUUUGGAUGUAAAGUGAAAUUGUUAUGAGAGAUUUUUGCAUGUCACGAAAUAUUUCUUUAUUUCUAAAAAGAUAUAAUAUAUAAUGCGUAGAAAAUGAAAUGCAUAUGUCAAUAGAAUUAGUGUUUAAGAAAUUACAAACUUCCUAGUAUUAUUUACAUGUAUGAACAUGCACAUGAAAUUCGAAAUUUUUGAAAAUUUGCAAUCCAUAUUUCAAGUAAUUUAAAUUCAAAAUAAAAUUGUUAUUAAAACAAACCAUUUUAUAUAUAAAAUGCUAAUAUUAUAUUAAUAAUAUUAUAUAUCAAUAUCUAAUGCUAUAUAUAUAAUAUUAUUAACAAUAGUGUUAUGAAAUAUAUAAUAUUAAUAAUAGUACUAUGAAAUAUUCUCCUUUCUUCCUAAAGAAAUGUAAUACGCAUGUAUACAACUAUUUUAAUUAGAUGGAAUUAAUAAGCUGACAACACUACAACAUUAAACAAUAAAUUUUUUCGAAAUGGAAAUAUAUUUUUCUUAUACUGUAUCAAAUUAUUGUAAAAAUUCUAAUAAAGAAAUUAUGGCGUUGCCAUUGCGCGCGGGAAGUUAACUAUCAGAAUAUGUAAUUUUCAAUAACAAAAUAUUUUGUGCGGUCAUCAGAGGAUUAAUUGAAAAUGGAAAUGUCACCAGCACUGUACUGCAAUUGCGAGUUCGUAGGUGGACACAGCAGUAGGUGUGAAUGCAUGAAAGAGCAAACGACAGUAAUAGGUAUUGUAUUGCAAAACAACUGGCAGCAGUGCACUUUCGAAGAGUGUCGUAUGCGUUCGUUAAUUAGUUUAUUCGGUCUAUUAUUAUUUGAAAACUCCAUGUUGAGUAUGUCGCGUUAUUGUGUACAAGCGAACGCAAAUAAUCACCAUUCCUUCUUCAUAAAUGAGCAUAAACUGCACUGCAAUUACGUAGAUUAUUUUAUCAUAACAGAAAGAAUGAGAGUAAUAAGUAUACAAUAUCGCUCAAAAGUAUCUGAACAUUCGUUGAUUCUUGGCAAAAUAUAUUUUAAGGACAAAAUUACAAACAAAUUAAAUUGCUCCGAUUUUAUUCCUUAUAAUUAUCAUAGCUAUGCGUAAUAGCACGUUAUGAUCCGAUUAAGCCAAUAUGUAAUAAUAAAAUUGGGUUUGUAAUUGGGAAACCUCAUAGAAGUAUUUUAUUACUUGUUUUAGA